rnacentral:rRNA from 1 species
AUGGGAACUGUUGACAUUUCUAGACUAAAUUACGCGGUGCUUACUCUCAUCCCUAAGAUCAAAGGUGCUAACUUGAUCUCCCAAUUUAGGCCCAUUGCUCUAAUUAGUAACUUCACGAAGAUUCUGGCUAAGGGUCUGGCCACUAGGAUUUCUCCGAUCGCUCACCGUGUCAUUAGUCCUUCCCAAUCCGCUUUUAUAAAGGGGAGAUUCAUACUAGAUGGGGUUCUUUGCUUGCAUGAGAUUGUUCAUGACUUGUAGACCAAGGGCACUCGGUCUGUAGUGCUUAAACUUGACUUUGAAAAGGCCUACGAUUCGGUGAGCUGGAAUUUCCUUCGACAGGUUCUU